GGGCAAGGUUAUGGCCCACAGUGGUGGUUAAACCUCGAAUUGCUUGAAAUAAUUCAGUGAACUCUGUUUAGGUGGGAGCAUCCUAGGCAUCGAGUCUUUCUACAGAAGGUCUCUAUUUAGUCAUAAGUUCCUACAAAAGGGAGAAAAAGGUUUAGAAACAAAUUCAUUCGCUAAGGUGCAAAUAUUAUUUCUAGUUCUAGGAAAUUGCUAGUUUUUAUAAAUAUAGAUCCUACACCUCAGUAUAAGGGAUGUCUGAGCAUCUUGCUUUGAUACCACCUAUGGCAUUUCAGUAACUGGUGGGUAAAGAAGUUUAAUAACAGAAUAGAUAUGAGUGCAAAAUAAUAUAUACAUAAGAAGAAAAUAAUCCCUU
rnacentral:lncRNA from 1 species